AUUGAACGCUGGCGGCAGGCCUAACACAUGCAAGUCGAGCGGAUGAAGGGAGCUUGCUCCUGGAUUCAGCGGCGGACGGGUGAGUAAUGCCUAGGAAUCUGCCUGGUAGUGGGGGAUAACGUCCGGAAACGCGCGCUAAUACCGCAUACGUCCUGAGGGAGAAAGUGGGGGAUCUUCGGACCUCACGCUAUCAGAUGAGCCUAGGUCGGAUUAGCUAGUUGGUGGGGUAAAGGCCUACCAAGGCGACGAUCCGUAACUGGUCUGAGAGGAUGAUCAGUCACACUGGAACUGAGACACGGUCCAGACUCCUACGGGAGGCAGCAGUGGGGAAUAUUGGACAAUGGGCGAAAGCCUGAUCCAGCCAUGCCGCGUGUGUGAAGAAGGUUUUCGGAUUGUAAAGCACUUUAAGUUGGGAGGAAGGGCA
rnacentral:rRNA from 1 species